rnacentral:rRNA from 1 species
AUUGAACGCUGGCGGCGUGCUUAACACAUGCAAGUCGAGCGAGAAAGCUACCUUCGGGUAGUGAGUAGAGCGGCGCACGGGUGAGUAACGCGUGGAUAAUCUACCCUAGAGAUCGGGAUAACAGUUGGAAACGACUGCUAAUACCGGAUACCCUGCAUAUUUAACUUUAUGUGGAAAAGAUGGCCUCUAUUUAUAAGCUAUCACUUUGGGAUGAGUCCGCGUCUCAUUAGUUUGUUGGUGGGGUGAUGGCCUACCAAGACUACGAUGAGUAGCUGGUCUGAGAGGAUGAUCAGCCACACUGGGACUGAAACACGGCCCAG